rnacentral:rRNA from 1 species
UACGGAGGAUCCAAGCGUUAUCCGGAUUUAUUGGGUUUAAAGGGUCCGUAGGCGGGAAAGUCAGUCAGUGGUGAAAUCCUACAGCUUAACUGUGGAACUGCCAUUGAUACUGCUUUUCUUGAAUAAAGUUGAAGUGGGCGGAAUGUGUCAUGUAGCGGUGAAAUGCAUAGAUAUGACACAGAACACCGAUUGCGAAGGCAGCUCACUAAGCUUUUAUUGACGCUGAUGGACGAAAGCGUGGGUAGCGAACAGG